rnacentral:rRNA from 1 species
UCAUGGGAUAACUUCGGGAAACCGAAGCUAAUACCGGAUACGACCCUCGGAGGCAUCUCCUGGGGGUGGAAAGAAUUUCGGUGAGGGAUGGACUCGCGGCCUAUCAGGUAGUUGGUGAGGUAACGGCUCACCAAGCCGACGACGGGUAGCCGGCCUGAGAGGGUGACCGGCCACACUGGGACUGAGACACGGCCCAGACUCCUACGGGAGGCAGCAGUGGGGAAUAUUGCACAAUGGGCGCAAGCCUGAUGCAGCAACGCCGCGUGAGGGACGACGGCCUUCGGGUUGUAAACCUCUUUUAGUAGGGAAGAAGCCGCAAGGUGACGGUACCUGCAGAAAAAGCACCGGCUAACUACGUGCCAGCAGCCGCGGUAAUACGUAGGGUGCAAGCGUUGUCCGGAAUUAUUGGGCGUAAAGAGCUCGUAGGCGGUUUGUCGCGUCUGCUGUGAAAACUGGAGGCUCAACCUCCAGCCUGCAGUGGGUACGGGCAGACUAGAGUGCGGUAGGGGAGAUUGGAAUUCCUGGUGUAGCGGUGGAAUGCGCAGAUAUCAGGAGGAACACCGAUGGCGAAGGCAGAUCUCUGGGCCGUAACUGACGCUGAGGAGCGAAAGCAUGGGGAGCGAACAGGAUUAGAUACCCUGGUAGUCCAUGCCGUAAACGUUGGGAACUAGAUGUAGGGACCAUUCCACGGUUUCUGUGUCGCAGCUAACGCAUUAAGUUCCCCGCCUGGGGAGUACGGCCGCAAGGCUAAAACUCAAAGGAAUUUGACGGGGGCCCGCACAAGCGGCGGAGCAUGCGGAUUA